rnacentral:rRNA from 1 species
CCUACGGGUGGCAGCAGUGAGGAAUAUUGGUCAAUGGGCGCAAGCCUGAACCAGCCAAGUCGCGUGAAGGAUGAAGGAUCUAUGGUUUGUAAACUUCUUUUAUAUGGGAAUAAAGUGAGGAACGUGUUCCUUUUUGUAUGUACCAUAUGAAUAAGCAUCGGCUAACUCCGUGCCAGCAGCCGCGGUAAUACGGAGGAUGCGAGCGUUAUCCGGAUUUAUUGGGUUUAAAGGGUGCGUAGGUGGUUAAUUAAGUUAGCGGUGAAAGUUUGUGGCUCAACCAUAAAAUUGCCGUUGAAACUGGGUGACUUGAGUAUAGCAGAGGUAGGCGGAAUGCGUGGUGUAGCGGUGAAAUGCAUAGAUAUCACGAAGAACUCCGAUUGCGAAGGCAGCUUACUGGACUAUAACUGACGCUGAUGCACGAAAGCGUGGGGAUCAAACAGGAUUAGAUACCCGUGUAGUC